GGCUGGAGUGCAGUGGUGCAAUCUCAGCUCACUGCAACAUCUGCCUCCCAGGUUAAAUUGAUUCUCCUGCCUCAGCCUCCUGAGAGCUGGGAUUACAGGCUUGCGCCACCAUGCCUGGUAAUUUUUUUGUAUUUUUAGUAGAGAAGAGUUUCACCAUGUUGGCCAGGCUGGUCUUGAACUCCUGACCUCAAAUGACCAGCCCGCCUCCGCCUCUCAAAGUGCUGGAAUUACAGGCGUGAGACACCGUGCCCUGCCGACUAUAGACAUCUUAUUUGAGUGACAUGCUUGAGGAAGAGUGAUGAAUAAUACUGAGGAUGAUUCAACGUCUCUUGGUUUUACUUCUGCACCACCCAAACAGAAAAUAAUUAGACAAGAACAUUUCUUUUUCUAUAUCAGUGUCAUAAUAUGUAUUAUUACAGUGCGGUGUAACCACAUGUCAGAAGAGAAUGUGUAGCUCAAAACACUGAACUAGGUGGAGAGGCCGAGGCCUUAAUUCUCCAAGAGAUUGGGACCUGUGCUGGGUUCCAGCGCCUGUUCAGCGUCAGAAUCAUCAGCUGGCUGUGAGCCUACGUGAAUUUUUCUCCACUCAAUCUCAUCAUCCUUCAGACAGGCGGAGAGAGCAGGAUCCAUCUGUGAGAUUUCUCUGCCAUCCCCCUUCACUGAAGCAACAGCAGGUCAUAUCUGAAUGCAGAAGCAUGGCCUUGUGCUGGGAAAACACAUCCUGGCUGUAGAGCUCUCAGGCUUCUAGAGUCAAAGCCAAGGGUUCAAAUCCUCUCUGUCUUACUCAGAAGCCACAUGGUCCUGAGACAGUGAAGUAACUCUGUGAACCUCAGUUUACCAAUCUGUAAGAUGGGGAUCAUAAUGUAAAAGAUGGCAUUAAAACUUACAUUGGGAAA